rnacentral:ncRNA from 12 species
UUCUUUUAGGUCUGUAGUUGCGGACAUGCAGCGCUUUCGAGUGCAGCAUUCCAAGUCCAUGGCAGAUGCGGUCGAAAGGAUCCACGUAAGUUCAGUGAUCGCUCGCGUGUUAUUCCUGCUAGCCUUGCGCUUUUGCAGGUUUGGCGAAGAGCUCAUCAUUGAAUGAGCACGGCGCAUUCUAGGUGUAAGUCGUACCGUCGGUGAAGCGGCAUAGGGCUGCUCUGGCGAGCGGAUGGCGUCGCUGCAAUACUCGUGCGCGCACGGUCUACAGCGGCUAAGUCCCCGUAUGCAGGUGUGGGGUCGAAAACUAGGUCAGCUAAAAGAA